GGAGAGGUAGCCAAGUGGUUCAAGGCGACAGUCUCGAAAACUGUGACCUUUCAUCGGGUCUCGUGGGUUCGAAUCCCACCCUCUCCG
rnacentral:tRNA from 1 species